rnacentral:rRNA from 1 species
UACGUAGGGUGCAAGCGUUGUCCGGAAUUAUUGGGCGUAAAGAGCUCGUAGGCGGUCUGUCGCGUCUGGUGUGAAAAUCCAGGGCUUAACCCUGGACCUGCAUCGGGUACGGGCAGACUAGAGUGCGGUAGGGGAGAUCGGAAUUCCUGGUGUAGCGGUGAAAUGCGCAGAUAUCAGGAGGAACACCGGUGGCGAAGGCGGAUCUCUGGGCCGUAACUGACGCUGAGGAGCGAAAGCCAGGGGAGCAAACGGG